UGCUGCAUGGCUGUCGUCAGCUCGUGUCGUGAGAUGUUGGGUUAAGUCCCGCAACAAGCGCAACCCUUGCCUUUAGUUGCCAGCAGUUCGGCUGGGCACUCUAAAGGGACUGCCGGUGUUAAACCGGAGGAAGGUGGGGAUGACGUCAAGUCCUCAUGGCCUUUAUGACCAGGGCUACACACGUACUACAAUGGCCGAUACAAAGGGCAGCGACACUGCGAGGUGAAGCCAAUCCCGUAAAAUCGGUCUCAGUCCGGAUUGGAGUCUGCAACUCGACUCCAUGAAGUUGGAAUCGCUAGUAAUCGUGGAUCAGCAUGCCACGGUGAAUACGUUCCCGGGCCUU
rnacentral:rRNA from 1 species